GCCCUGUGGAUAGCUCAAUCAGCAGAGCAUGAGACUCUUAACCGCAAGGUUGUGAGUUCGAGCCCCACGUUGGGCA